rnacentral:rRNA from 1 species
CCUACGGGUGGCUGCAGUGGGGAAUAUUGCUCAAUGGGCGAAAGCCUGAUGCAGCAACGCCGCGUGAGCGAUGAAUGCCUUCGGGUCGUAAAGCUCUGUCCUUAAAGAAGAUAAUGACGGUACUUGAGGAGGAAGCCCCGGAUAACUAAGUGCCAGCAGCCGCGGUAAUACGUCGGGGGCUAGCGUUAUCCGGAAUUACUGGGCGUAAAGGUGCGUAGGUGGUUUUUUAAGUCAGAGGUGAAAGGCUAGGGCUCAACCGUAGUAGGCAUUUGAAACUGGGAAACUUGAGUGCAGGAGAGGUGAGUGGAAUUCCUAGUGUAGCGGUGAAAUGCGUAGAUAUUAGGAGGAACACCAGUUGCGAAGGCGGCUCUCUGGACUGUAACUGACACUGAGGCACGAAAGCGUGGGGAGCAAACAGGAUUAGAUACCCGAGUAGUC